rnacentral:rRNA from 1 species
GACGAACGCUGGCGGCGUGCUUAACACAUGCAAGUCGAACGGAAAGGCCCUGCUUUUGUGGGGUGCUCGAGUGGCGAACGGGUGAGUAACACGUGAGUAACCUGCCCUUGACUUUGGGAUAACUUCAGGAAACUGGGGCUAAUACCGGAUAGGAGCGCCUGCUGCAUGGUGGGGGUUGGAAAGUUUCGGCGGUUGGGGAUGGACUCGCGGCUUAUCAGCUUGUUGGUGGGGUAGUGGCUUACCAAGGCUUUGACGGGUAGCCGGCCUGAGAGGGUGACCGGCCACAUUGGGACUGAGAUACGGCCCAGACUCCUACGGGAGGCAGCAGUGGGGAAUAUUGCACAAUGGGCGGAAGCCUGAUGCAGCAACGCCUCGUGCGGGAUGACUGCCUUCGGGUUGUAAACCGCUUUCGCCUGUGACGAAGCGUGAGUGACGGUAAUGGGUAAAGAAGCACCGGCUAACUACGUG